UGACCAAAUCAAGUGUUACCUGGAAAGAGGAAUGUCAAGGGUGCUUUUUAUAUUAACUCCAAAAUAGCCAUUGGAAAGUUCAAGCCAGAUCUGCGACAGCAAACUGAACAUAAAGUGGCAUACUUGUGUGUCAGGAAACGAGGAACAGUAUGGCUGUACUGAGAAUCUAACCGGGGAUCCCUGCAUCACUACUUACAAAUCCCAUGGAAAUAUAGGAUCCUUGGCUAAUCAAGUGUCAUCUGCAGUGUUACAAAAGAAUAUUGGAUUUAUAUCAAAAA